AUUGAACGCUGGCGGCAGGCCUAACACAUGCAAGUCGAACGAGUGGCGGACGUGUGAGUAAUGUCUGGGAAACUGCCCGAUGGAGGGGGAUCACUACUGGAAACGGUAGCUAAUACCGCCUACCAUCGGAUUUGCCCAGAUGGGAUUAGCUAGUAGGUGGGGUAACGGCUCACCUAGGCGACGAUCCCUAGCUGGUCUGAGAGGAUGACCAGCCACACUGGGACGGAGACACGGGCCAGACUCAGACGGGAGGCAGCAGUGGGGAAUAGGGCACAAUGGGCGCAAGCCUGAUGCAGCCAGGCCGCGUGUAUGAAGAAGGCCUUAGGGUUGUAAAGUACUUUCAGCGAGGAGGCGUUACUCGCAGAAGAAGCACCGGCUAACUCCGUGCCAGCAGCCGCGGUAAUAC
rnacentral:rRNA from 1 species